rnacentral:rRNA from 1 species
CCCUUAGAUGUUCUGGGCUGCACGCGCGCUACACUGAUGCGCUCAACGAGUUUAUGACCUUGCCCGGAAGGGUUGGGUAAUCUUUUCAAAACGCAUCGUGAUGGGGAUAGAUUAUUGCAAUUAUUAAUCUUCAACGAGGAAUUCCUAGUAAGCGCGAGUCAUCAGCUCGUGCUGAUUACGUCCCUGCCCUUUGUACACACCGCCCGUCGCUCCUACCGAUUGAGUGGUCCGGUGAAUAAUUCGGACUGCGGCAAUGUUCAGCUCCUGAAUGUUGCUGCGGAAAGUUUAGUGAACCUUAUCACUUAGAGGAAGGAGAAGUCGUAACA